ACUCCUACGGGAGGCAGCAGUGGGAAUAUUGCACAAUGGGCGCAAGCCUGAUGCAGCCAUGCCGCGUGUUNAAGAAGGCCUUCGGGUUGUAAAGUACUUUCAGUCGUGAGGAAGGCGAGUACGUUAAUAGCGUGCUUGUUUGACGUUAGCUGCAGAAGAAGCACCGGCUAACUCCGUGCCAGCAGCCGCGGUAAUACGGAGGGUGCGAGCGUUAAUCGGAAUUACUGGGCGUAAAGCGCAUGCAGGUGGUUUGUUAAGUCAGAUGUGAAAGCCCGGGGCUCAACCUCGGAAUUGCAUUGAACUUGGACA
rnacentral:rRNA from 1 species